CAGUCGAGCGGCAGCGGGAAGUAGCUUGCUACUUUGCCGGCGAGCGGCGGACGGGUGAGUAAUGUCUGGGAAACUGCCUGAUGGAGGGGGAUAACUACUGGAAACGGUAGCUAAUACCGCAUGACCUCGAAAGAGCAAAGUGGGGGAUCUUCGGACCUCACGCCAUCGGAUGUGCCCAGAUGGGAUUAGCUAGUAGGUGAGGUAAUGGCUCACCUAGGCGACGAUCCCUAGCUGGUCUGAGAGGAUGACCAGCCACACUGGAACUGAGACACGGUCCAGACUCCUACGGGAGGCAGCAGUGGGGAAUAUUGCACAAUGGGCGCAAGCCUGAUGCAGCCAUGCCGCGUGUGUGAAGAAGGCCUUAGGGUUGUAAAGCACUUUCAGCGAGGAGGAAGGCAUCACACUUAAUACGUGUGGUGAUUGACGUUACUCGCAGAAGAAGCACCGGCUAACUCCGUGCCAGCAGCCGCGGUAAUACGGAGGGUGCAAGCGUUAAUCGGAAUUACUGGGCGUAAAGCGCACGC
rnacentral:rRNA from 1 species